rnacentral:rRNA from 1 species
UGGGGAAUUUUGGACAAUGGGCGAAAGCCUGAUCCAGCAAUGCCGCGUGUGUGAAGAAGGCCUUCGGGUUGUAAAGCACUUUUGUCCGGAAAGAAAUCCUCUGGGUUAAUACCUCGGGGGGAUGACGGUACCGGAAGAAUAAGCACCGGCUAACUACGUGCCAGCAGCCGCGGUAAUACGUAGGGUGCAAGCGUUAAUCGGAAUUACUGGGCGUAAAGCGUGCGCAGGCGGUUUUGUAAGACGGAUGUGAAAUCCCCGGGCUUAACCUGGGAACUGCAUUCGUGACUGCAAGGCUAGAGUAUGGCAGAGGGGGGUAGAAUUCCACGUGUAGCAGUGAAAUGCGUAGAGAUGUGGAGGAAUACCGAUGGCGAAGGCAGCCCCCUGGGCCAAAUACUGACGCUCAUGCACGAAAGCGUGGGGAGCAAACAGGAUUAGAUACCCUGGUAGUCCACGCCCUAAACGAUGUCAACUAGUUGUUGGGGAUUCAUUUCCUUAGUAACGUAGCUAACGCGUGAAGUUGACCGCCUGGGGAGUACGGUCGCAAGAUUAAAACUCAAAUGAAUUGACGGGGUCAUAGCUGUUUCCU